rnacentral:lncRNA from 1 species
GUAAAUGUAUCAUAAUGUGUACGUGGAACAAUCUGCAUCAAUUGUCUGAUCCACAAUAUCUUAAAGGACACGUAGGAGCAGUACUUAGUUUGUAAACAUAAUACUGUCCACAAUUCACAACCUCGAUGUUAUUUGACAAAAGACAACAAUUACCGUCCCAAUGGUAACACACUUUCCUGGUCACGUUGCCAUCAGCAACUGUAGGGUGAGCACCAUUCAUCCAACCUGUGACCCAUGUUCCACAUCUGUACUCAGGUACACACGAUGAUGCAAUUUUAAUCCCAGCUCCUCCUCCAAAUCUGUACCAUCCUGAAAGACC